rnacentral:tRNA from 1 species
UUAGCAACUCUGGGCCCUAGUUCAACUGACUUGUAAUCAGUAGGUCGCCAGUUCGACUCCGGCAGUCGGCACCA